rfam:Lysobacter daejeonensis GH1-9 contig9, whole genome shotgun sequence.
CGUCCUCUGCUGUGUUCGACGGCGUACGCAAACAUUCGCCUUGUCCCUUAAUUACGACCACGGGGGCGCAACGGAAGCCCGGAGUGCAUGUCCGCCACGCAGCGGGAAGCCCGACGGCCACCAAGCGUUCCCACUUGAACCCCGGGUUCAAGGUCGUUUCGUAAGCAUCGGCACGAGCGGAGGACUU